rnacentral:precursor_RNA from 13 species
CCGUCCCCCGGGGCCUUCCGCUCUCGCCCCGCGCCAGCCCCUCGCACAAACCGGUCCUCAGCGAUUUGUUCGUUCGGCUCGCGUGAGGCGGGGGCGGCCCGUCUGCGCCCCCCACC